rnacentral:rRNA from 1 species
ACGCUGGCGGCGUGCCUAACACAUGCAAGUCGAACGGAGUAGAGAGCUUCGGUUUUCUACUUAGUGGCGAACGGGUGAGUAACGCCGUGAGCAACCUGCCCUUCAGAGGGGAACAACAGUUGGAAACGACUGCUAAUACCGCAUAACGUGCUUUAGGGGCAUCCCUGAAGUACCAAAGAUUUAUCGCUGAAGGAUGGGCUCGCGUCCGAUUAGAUAGUUGGUGGGGGUAACGGCCUACCAAGUCGACGAUCAGUAGCCGGACUGAGAGGUUGAACGGCCACAUUGGGACUGAGACACGGCCCAGACUCCUACGGGAGGCAGCAGUGGGGAAUAUUGCGCAAUGGGGGAAACCCUGACGCAGCAACGCCGCGUGAAGGAAGAAGGUCUUCGGAUCGUAAACUUUUGUCUUCAGGGACGAUAAUGACGGUACCUGAGGAGGAAGCCACGGCUAACUACGUG